AACGAACGCUGGCGGCAGGCUUAACACAUGCAAGUCGAACGGACGUAGCAAUACGUUAGUGGCAGACGGGUGAGUAACGCGUGGGAAUAUGCCCUUUAGUUCGGAAUAACUCAGGGAAACUUGAGCUAAUACCGGAUAAUCCCGAGAGGGAAAAGAUUUAUCGCUGAAGGAGUAGCCCGCGUCUGAUUAGCAAGUUGGUGAGGUAAUGGCUCACCAAGGCGACGAUCAGUAGCUGGUCUGAGAGGAUGAUCAGCCACACUGGGACUGAGACACGGCCCAGACUCCUACGGGAGGCAGCAGUGGGGAAUAUUGGACAAUGGGGGCAACCCUGAUCCAGCCAUGCCGCGUGAGUGAUGAAGGCCUUAGGGUUGUAAAACUCUUUUGUCCGGGAAGAUAAUGACUGUACCGGAAGAAUAAGCCCCGGCUAACUUCGUGCCAGCAGCCGCCGUAACAC
rnacentral:rRNA from 1 species